UACAGAGGUGGCUAGCGUUGCUCGGAAUCACUGGGCGUAAAGGGUGCGUAGGCGGGUCUUUUAAGUCAGGGGUGAAAUCCUGGAGCUCAACUCCAGAACUGCCUUUGAUACUGAAGAUCUUGAGUUCGGGAGAGGUGAGUGGAACUGCGAGUGUAGAGGUGAAAUUCGUAGAUAUUCGCAAGAACACCAGUGGCGAAGGCGGCUCACUGGCCCGAUACUGACGCUGAGGCACGAAAGCGUGGGGAGCAAACAGGG
rnacentral:rRNA from 1 species